rnacentral:rRNA from 1 species
AGUGAACGCUGGCGGUAGGCCUAACACAUGCAAGUCGAACGGCAGCACAGUAAGAGCUUGCUCUUACGGGUGGCGAGUGGCGGACGGGUGAGGAAUACAUCGGAAUCUACUUUUUCGUGGGGGAUAACGUAGGGAAACUUACGCUAAUACCGCAUACGACCUACGGGUGAAAGCAGGGGUUCUUCGGACCUUGCGCGAUCGAAUGAGCCGAUGUCGGAUUAGCUAGUUGGCGGGGUAAAGGCCCACCAAGGCGACGAUCCGUAGCUGGUCUGAGAGGAUGAUCAGCCACACUGGAACUGAGACACGGUCCAGACUCCUACGGGAGGCAGCAGUGGGGAAUAUUGGACAAUGGGCGCAAGCCUGAUCCAGCCAUACCGCGUGGGUGAAGAAGGCCUUCGGGUUGUAAAGCCCUUUUGUUGGGAAAGAAAAGCAGCAGGUUAAUACCCCGCUGUUCUGACGGUACCCAAAGAAUAAGCACCGGCUAGCUUCGUG